rnacentral:misc_RNA from 1 species
CUCCACCUUCAAGCACACCUCUGCAACGUUGCCUUGCAACUCUACCAACAUUCCGCAAGUUUGCUGCCGCGCGGUCUCCGUCUGCUUCUCGCUUCUGCUCUUCAUCUUUGCCGUGUGUCCCCUUUCCCCAUUGUGCCUGAUUAUGGAGGCUCCAACCGACAGCGACUCGAUGCAGGUAGGGCCCGUGGCCGUUGGCCAUGCGGAUGGCGUGCUCACAAUGCCGUCGGAGGACUUUGCCAGCCUGCACUUGCAGCCCAUUCAAGACGACACGUGGAUUCGCAACGCGGAGAUUGUGCACAUGGAGAACUUUGUGGAGACCGAGGAUGGGAAGCGCAUUAAACGAGAGAUUCUGAGGGAGUACGUGGAGGAGAAGGAGCGCCAAGGCACUUUCCACCCUGAUCCCAUUCUGGAGGGUAUGAUAUACCAGGAGAAAUUCAUGGAAGCAUACCGCACGAAUGGCCGCACCGUGGACGCCGACAAGGCGCACUCCUACCGCCUCAAGCUGUUGGAGAAGCAUCGCCGCGCCCGCGCCAUCGAGAACGCUGAUAUGUAAGGUAAGGAAAAGAAGGACGCUCGGAAUCGCAGCACGGAUUCGACCAGUACGGUGUUUAUCCUGUGGUGAUGAUCGCUUCCCAUGCCCCCGUAUUUUCUGGGCCCUCGCGCCGGAGUGGAUGAACAUGUGUCCGUGUAGCGUCGUGCCAGCUGUGGAUCAGCUUCCCGAUAUGUUUUCAUAGUUGCCUUUACUCGUAAAAGAACGGAAACAAAAAAAAAGUACGUUCGCGCCUCCCUCCCUCCCUCCCCUCCACCGGGUCUUCCGCGUGGGCAAUUUUUACCUUUUUUUCUGUUUCCUCGUCUAGUGCUAUGAUGCGUAUGUGCUGCAGCACUAGUGCUGUCUGCACGCGUGAAAGAGAUGAUGUACGACACUCGCAGCACGGGAGCAAACACAGGCAAGGGCAUGGCAAGCGGACGUCACACCACCAUCCCGUUCAAGUAGGCCAGCACUCUCUGCUUUGGUUUUGGGUGCCCUCCCUUCUGCCUCCACCCACAGGCUGUUUCUCCUCUUUUACCUGUGUCUUUCCAAGCCUUGUACAUUCCGAGUAUCUUUAUGAUUCACUUCUUUCUUUUUUGUGGUUCGUUGAGCUCUUCGUUGAUGUGUCUCCUCCUCUACUUUUUUUUUUGCAUAUUUUGCGAUCGCUGCAAGGCAUGCGCGCGUGUGCGUGUGUGCGUGUGUUCGUCUUGUGCUCCCCCUCCUUCUUUUCUUUUUCCUGAUGUAGUGAUCUUCUCGUUAAACGCAACAUGCACGUGGAACACCGUAAGCAAGAAAUGGUGUGCAUGGGUGGUCUUAUAAGCGUCGUUCCCCUCAGCGCAUGCGGGGUGAAACACAUGCCGAUACACCCGUACGUGGAACAUGCAUUGUGCAAACAACAAC